rnacentral:rRNA from 1 species
CGCGAAUAGCUCAUUACAACAGCUAUAAUUUACUUGAAUUUGACAACCCUACUUGGAUACCGGUGGUAAUUCUAGCGCUAAUACAUGCACCAAAGCUCCGACCGCGAGGGAAGAGCGCAUUUAUUAGAACAAAACCACACGGCUUCGGCCGUCCAAUGUUGACUCAGAAUAACUAAGCUGAUCGCAUGGUCUUGCACCGGCGACGUUUCUUUCAAGUAUCUGCCUUAUCAACUUUCGAUGGUAGUGUAUCUGACUACCAUGGUGAUGACGGGUAACGGAGGAUAAGGGUUCGACUCCGGAGAAGGGGCCUGAGAAAUGGCCACUACGUCUAAGGAUGGCAGCAGGCGCGCAAAUUACCCACUCUCAGUACGAGGAGGUAGUGACGAGAAAUAACAAGACCGUUCUCACAAGAGGCCGGUCAUUGGAAUGGGUACAAUUUAAACCCUUUAACGAGUAUCUAUGAGAGGGCAAGUCUGGUGCCAGCAGCCGCGGUAAUUCCAGCU